rnacentral:rRNA from 1 species
AGGACGAACGCUGGCGGCGUGCUUAACACAUGCAAGUCGAGCGAGGCCCGUCCUUCGGGACGGUGCCCUAGCGGCGAACGGGUGAGUAACACGUGGGCAACCUGCCCCUAGCACUGGGAUAACUCCGGGAAACCGGGGCUAAUACCGGAUAUGACCUUUGAGGGCAUCCUCGAAGGUGUAAAGGAUUCUGGCUAGGGAUGGGCCCGCGGCCUAUCAGCUUGUUGGUGGGGUAAUGGCCUACCAAGGCGACGACGGGUAGCCGGCCUGAGAGGGCGACCGGCCACACUGGGACUGAGACACGGCCCAGACUCCUACGGGAGGCAGCAGUGGGGAAUAUUGCACAAUGGGCGAAAGCCUGAUGCAGCGACGCCGCGUGAGGGAUGACGGCCUUCGGGUUGUAAACCUCUUUCAGCAGGGACGAAGCGAAAGUGACGGUACCUGCAGAAGAAGCACCGGCCAACUACGCGCCAGCAGCCGC